AGGGAAAGUUGAAAAGAACUUUGAAGAGAGAGUUCAAAAGGGCGUGAAACCGCUUAGAAUAAAACGGACGGAGCCGUCGGGCGCCUUCGAGAAUCAGUCUUACGAUACGUGAACGUAAUGUAGUUUCGGAGCGGUAAUAGCCCGACUACGAGACGCUAGUAACGUUCGUUUGGCGCAUUUCUUGGAGGUAAGCACCGCGACCGAUACUAUAGGUCGACGAAGCGUUCGAAUUGAGGUCGAGACUUUUCGGAGACUCGUAACCAGCUCGUUCGUUUGAUUAAAAACGUUGAACCUAGUAAAUUUGAAAGUAUCGAGCGCCAAAGUAAUGAAUAUACGUCGGCCGUAAAAGCUCGUUCGAAUAACGGCUAGUUGGUCAAUAGUGUCGGGUACUUGCUCGCAGGUUCCGAUCUAUUCGAUUCGACUUAAAAGUUAUCGACGACAUUACCGGCGUAUAGGCGUCAGCGGUGUCAGUGUCGGCCACCCGUCCGACCCGUCUUGAAACACGGACCAAGGAGUCUAACAUAUGCGCGAGCUAAUGGGCGGAAAACCCAAAAGCGUAAUAAAAGUAAAAGCUGUUUCGGACAGCUAAGGUAUGAUCCUAGAUAUCCGUCGUGAUUCCGGGCGCAAUACCGUCCCGUCCCGACCGCACGUCGGUAGGGCGGAGAUAGAGUGCAUACGUUGGGACCCGAAAGAUGGUGAACUAUGCCUGAGCAGAGCGAAGCCAGAGGAAACUCUGGUGGAGGUUCGUAGCGGUUCUGACGUGCAAAUCGAUCGUCAGACUUGGGUAUAGGGGCGAAAGACUAAUCGAACCAUCUAGUAG
rnacentral:rRNA from 1 species